GCAAAUGUUGUUCGGAAUCACUGGGCGUAAAGGGCGCGUAGGCGGGCUCUUAAGUUAGGUGUUUAAUCCCGGGGCCCAACCCCGGACAGGCACCUAAAACUGGGAGUCUUGAAUAGUGGAGAGGACGGCGGAAUUGGGGGUGUAGCGGUGGAAUGCGUAGAGAUCCCCAAGAACACCAGUUGCGAAGGCGGCCGUCUGGACACAUAUUGACGCUGAGGCUCGAAAGCAUGGGGAGCAAACAGG
rnacentral:rRNA from 1 species